CCUACGGGAGGCCGCAGUGGGGGAUAUUGCACAAUGGGGGACACCCUGAUGCAGCGAAGCCGCGUGGGUGAAGAAGUGACUCGGCGAGUAAAGCCCUGUCAGCAGGGAAGAAAAUGACGGUACCUGCAGAAGCAGCCCCGGCUAACUACGUGCCAGCAGCGGCGGUAAGACGUCGGGGGCAAGCGUUAUCCGGAUUAACUGGGUGUAAUGGGGUCGCAGCAGGCGGUGCAAGCCAGGAGUGAAAUUCCUGGGCCUAACCCCGGGACUGAUCUUUGAAGUGCGGGGCUAGAGUGCAGGAGGGGCAGGCGGAAUUCCUGGUGUAGCGGUGAAAUGCGUAGAUAUCAGGAGGAACACCGGUGGCGAAGGCGGCCUGCUGGACUGCAACUGACGUUGAGGCCCGAAAGCGUGGGGAGCAAACAGGAUUAGAUACCCCUGUAGUC
rnacentral:rRNA from 1 species